rnacentral:rRNA from 1 species
GAUCCUGGCUCAGGAUGAACGCUAGCGACAGGCCUAACACAUGCAAGUCGAGGGGCAGCGAAGAGGUAGCAAUACCUUUGUCGGCGACCGGCGCACGGGUGAGUAACACGUAUGCAAUCCACCUGUAACAGGGGGAUAACCCGGAGAAAUCCGGACUAAUACCCCAUAAUAUGGGCGCUCCGCAUGGAGAGCCCAUUAAAGAGAGCAAUUUUGGUUACAGACGAGCAUGCGCUCCAUUAG